AGCCGUCGACGAGAUUUGAACUCGCGCGGGCAGAACCCAGUAGAUUUCGAAUCUACCACCUUGACCACUCGGUCACAACGGC
rnacentral:tRNA from 1 species